rnacentral:rRNA from 1 species
ACGAACGCUGGCGGCGUGCUUAACACAUGCAAGUCGAACGAUGAGGCCAGCUUGCUGGUGGAUUAGUGGCGAACGGGUGAGUAACACGUGGGUGAUCUGCCCCAAACUUUGGGAUAAGCCUGGGAAACUGGGUCUAAUACCGAAUAUGACCGAUACUCGCAUGGGUGUUGGUGGAAAGCUCCGGCGGUUUGGGAUGGGCCCGCGGCCUAUCAGCUUGUUGGUGGGGUAAUGGCCUACCAAGGCGACGACGGGUAGCCGGCCUGAGAGGGCGACCGGCCACACUGGGACUGAGACACGGCCCAGACUCCUACGGGAGGCAGCAGUGGGGAAUAUUGCACAAUGGGCGCAAGCCUGAUGCAGCGACGCCGCGUGAGGGAUGACGGCCUUCGGGUUGUAAACCUCUUUCACCAGGGACGAAGCGAAAGUGACGGUACCUGGAGAAGAAGCACCGGCCAACUACGUG